UGGCCUUGACAUACUAAGAACUUUCCAGAGAUGGAUUGGUGCCUUCGGGAACUUAGAUACAGGUGCUGCAUGGCUGUCGUCAGCUCGUGUCGUGAGAUGUUGGGUUAAGUCCGCAACGAGCGCAACCCUUUUCCUUAUUUGCCAGCGGGUAAUGCCGGGAACUUUAAGGAUACUGCCAGUGACAAACUGGAGGAAGGCGGGGACGACGUCAAGUCAUCAUGGCCCUUACGGCCAGGGCUACACACGUGCUACAAUGGUCGGUACAAAGGGUUGCUACCUCGCGAGAGGAUGCUAAUCUCAAAAAGCCGAUCGUAGUCCGGAUCGCAGUCUGCAACUCGACUGCGUGAAGUCGGAAUCGCUAGUAAUUGCGGAUCAGAAUGCCGCGGUGAAUACGUUCCCGGGCCUUGUACACACCGCCCGUCACACCAUGGGAGUUUGUUGCACCAGAAGUAGGUAGUCUAACCGCAAGGAGGACGCUUACCACGGUGUGGCCGAUGACUGGGGUGAAGUCGUAACAAGGUAAGCGUAGAUGA
rnacentral:rRNA from 1 species